rnacentral:lncRNA from 1 species
UCUUGCCCCUCACUGGCCAGAAGUGAAUCAAAAGUACAGAACAGAGAAGACUUUGCUGGGGCUUGGACCCAGCCCUCUCAUGUUACAGAUGGACGAACUGGGGCCCAGAGAAGUUGGAGGACUUGCUCUGGGCCACCCAGGGAGUUAACAUAGAAUCUGGCCGGCUUGAGAGAGAGCCCCCGGCACCCUGUCGACGGAACCCCACCCCAAAAGCCUUCCCUGUCCCAUAAUCUGUUCAUUCUCCUCUGUCACGUGGCCCAGGCAGAACCUCCACAGGCUCACCCUGCUCGCCUCUCCAGUGUCAACUCUCAUCCUCUCGCCAGCCAUAGUCAAGUACUUUGAUCGCUCAGAAGUCCCUGUGGGCCUUCACAUGCUGCACCUCUGUUUGCUUCUCCCCUCCCUCCCCUUGCCUGGCUGGGUUCUCUUCAUUCUUAGAGACCCAGGCAUCUGCUCAGCUGAGAAGCCUUCCCUGACCGCAGUACCCCUCCCAGACCGGGGAGGCACCUCUUCUCCCUGCUGCCUCCAUGAACCCACUGAGCAUAAUGGCCCUGCUCUAGACUGAGCUUCUCCAGCACAGGCUCUGUGUCUUGUGCCCUCGGUGCCUGGUGGUGGUUGGCACAUGAUGGAGGUACCGAGUCAAUGGCUGUUCAUUGACCGACUGAAUGACCAGCAUGUCCAGCUGCCACACUGGGCACGCUGCCGUGGGCUCUCUCUCAAGGCUUCUGUGUCCUCACCCUCAGCUCUGAAGGACAGGUGGAGGGAAGCGCCCCAGACAAGGAAGCUGGCAACCAGCCCCAGAGCAGUGAUGGGACCACCUCGUCUUGAAUCUGACCUUGUCCAAGAAGGCUGGACGAGAGACCUUCUGUCCCCUCCCAGAGGGGGAACCCUGGCACUGGCCCAGCAGCCUCUUCUCUGAGCUCCAUGUCCCAGAUAAACCAGGCCAGACUGAGAAGGCUCCCCAGAGGCCUCUGUGGCCUCCACUCCGGGAAAGCCCUCUGCCCACACCCACAGGCUUCACAUUCCCACCACCUUCGCACCGUGCCCAGGUACACUUUCAAGACACUGUAACCACAAGAUGUUAUUUAUUGAGCUGGCGCCGGGACUUGGGCGGGGCCUGCCCUACAGUGAGCAGCCCACACAGGAACGCUCCUCUCACGAGCGGCCCGGGCAGGGACCCUGUCCCAACACCAACACCUCCUCUCCAGCCCAAUCUUCUGGGUCCAGACCUGCUUGUCCCUUUUUUAGAAAACACUUUUAAACUUUUUAAAAAUUUUAAACCUUUUUUCAGCAGAUAUGGAGAGAGCUGACAAUCAAUUCACAUUUUUUAAGCCAUUUUAGCUAAACUGUCAUUGUGCAUCUCUGAGGUUCCCUCAUGGAGCUCCACAGAUCCAUUUUUAGGGAAGGGAUUUUGGCUCAAAACGAUCUGACCACCUCUGCCCUGUCCACCAGGAUAAGUGACACCUAGGACCCAGGAAAUAAAUGCCGAUG